GACGAACGCUGGCGGCGUGCUUAACACAUGCAAGUCGAACGGAAAGGCCCUGCUUUUGUGGGGUGCUCGAGUGGCGAACGGGUGAGUAACACGUGAGUAACCUGCCCUUGACUUUGGGAUAACUUCAGGAAACUGGGGCUAAUACCGGAUAGGAGCUCCUGCUGCAUGGUGGGGGUUGGAAAGUUUCGGCGGUUGGGGAUGGACUCGCGGCUUAUCAGCUUGUUGGUGGGGUAGUGGCUUACCAAGGCUUUGACGGGUAGCCGGCCUGAGAGGGUGACCGGCCACAUUGGGACUGAGAUACGGCCCAGACUCCUACGGGAGGCAGCAGUGGGGAAUAUUGCACAAUGGGCGGGAGCCUGAUGCAGCAACGCCGCGUGCGGGAUGACGGCCUUCGGGUUGUAAACCGCUUUCGCCUGUGACGAAGCGUGAGUGACGGUAAUGGGGAAAGAAGCACCGGCUAACUACGU
rnacentral:rRNA from 1 species